CAGGCAGGGUGUGCUAACCACACCGCUCUCUAGAAAAGCAUGCCCAGAAAGGAGUAGGGCAGCUGGGGAGAGGUGAACUGCUUAGCUGCCCCUCUUGCUCAUCUCCGCCGUAGAUGUCUGCACCCUGCAGCGUGCCCAGCAGAGCAACAGCUAUGGCAGGCACCACUCUCUUACACUUGGUGUUGUUUGUUUUAGCGUUAGGUUUAUUUUUUUAGCCUUAUUUAUUUUUAUGGCAUAUGUAUGGUUGUUUUGCCUGCAUGUCUGUCUGUUUACCAUGUACAUUCGAUAGACAUGGUAGCCAGAAAAGGUCAUCAGAUUUCCUUGGAACUGGAGUUAGAGACAGCUGUUAGCCGUGAUCUGAGUGAUGGCAACUGAGUCAAGGUCCUUUGGAAGAGCAGUCAGUGUUCUUAACUGCUGAGUCAUCUCUCUAGCCCCCCAUGUUUGUUUUGAGAAGCUCUUCAACUUCUCUAAAACCCUUCCUAGCCUCAACCAUUCAAACCUCCCCCUUGGACUCUACUCCGGCAGCAGGGAAAGGGCAGACAAAACUGCAGGGCCCAUUAUGCUACUCCUUUGAUGUCUCAGGACUGCUGGCCUUUGCCAGGGGCCGGAGUCGACUUUGUGCUUCACUCACCAUCCCCCUGCCUCUGUGCCAAGGCUUCCUCCAGGUCACAGGAAAGGAAUGGACAUUUCCAAACACUUGCUAUGUGGGCAUUCAGAACAGUAACGCUAACUCUGGGCGCCUUGUGUGGGGGAUACUGAUAGAUUGUGACUUGACAGAAGGGACAGGUUUUUCAAGCAAGUGCCGUCCAACCACAGAAAUGACUGUCUGAGAGAUGGUGGAAUCGUCUCCAUGAGCUAGUCAGGGUGCUGAUGAACAGUUUGCCUAAAAUCCUGCUGGAUGUUGGUUUCUCCCAAGACCCUACUGAAGCACAGACUCUGACUUUGUUAUCUGGGCUGUGCCAGGCACUGGCCACUGCUAGCUGCUGGUGCUGAUUGUUCUGGUUCUCAGCCUGACUUUGCAAAGCAAAGUUGCAGAGAAUCUCAGGUGAGAUUCUCUGGCCUCAGUGUGACAAGACUGGUCUAGGUCACACCUCACGAAAAACAAAAGUUCUCAUUAAAACCAAAAGUCCAAACUCCUGUUAGUGACCUGAUAACCUCAAGCCAGACGUAGACAACUCUUGGGAUGGUGGCCACAGCUUAGAAAAGCCCCUAGCAUCUUUCGGUCAACCCAGUCCCAAAGCUGUAGCUGGAAUCAAUCACCUGGCCAACAGUGCUGCUCCAACGAGGAUCUGUGAACCGAAUGCGAAUGGAGCUGCUCUUUUAUAAACACAUGAAGGUCCAAUGGCUCACACCUCACUUCAUACCUUUACUAACUUUUGACUAGGAGAGGGCAGAGGAGGGAAUUUUAUAACCCAGUAAAGACUGGGGCCUUAUACAGAGGCUGUGAACAUGAGCUGAGCCCCUCUAUGACUCACAUGCCACCCCCUCAUUCAGGCUGAGAAGGCUGACAUUACCUUAUCAACACCCAAAUUCUACCUCUUCUCAAAAUGGACACUGACCUCUCUUCCCGCAUGCUCUAUUCUAGAUGUGUCUGGGCACCAUAAAAGACAGCAUCUGACAGUAACCCAAGGAACCACGGUAUGAGAGGUAUCUUGGUUAGCAGUUCCUCUCGUCUCUACCCAUACCCGAAGCAGAGCAUAGUCACUAUCCGAGCUUUAACAUCCGGAGAGUAGAGACAACCCCAUUCCUGAGAGGUAAGGAGGACAGGGCUCCCCACUUAAUAUUGGAUAAAUGAAGGAAGUGGUCAAGAUAAACACGAUAGGUCUCGGUUUCCCCGUUUAGAUUUAAGGAAGCAUCUCACACAGCUGGAAUGUACACCUCUGGUGAGAGAGGGCGCUCCAACAGAGCUGGAAACCACUGACACCCAUUACCUGAAUCAGCCCUUCACUUAGAAAGCUGUUUACCUCAGAGGACCUUUUUUCCCUCUAGGUACAAGGUCGUACCUUUCCUGUUCCACCUCUCACUGUCUAAUACUUGGCCGGCUUUGCAGUUCCUCCUCAGCCUGGGCUGUCAGUGAGGCACCAACAGUCACAGGGGCCCUGAGUGCAAGAGACACAGAGUGAAGGGAAAAUGCUACGGAUGCAAAAGUAGACACUGACUUCCAAAAAUCUUCUGAAUAUACUGGGCUAAAGGGCAUACGCUAUUAAAACUAACUCGGUCACUGUGUUUCAUGAUGUGGGUUAAAGGGUAUACGCUAUUAAAACUAACUCGUUCACUGUGUUUCACGAUAGCUGCUAGGAAAUCUUCGACUGCGUAUGUGCUGCACAUUCCCUCUGCUGGCAGCGCCUUCCUUCAGGGCGUCAGUCUGACCUUCCUUAAGCCUAAGAGUAGAUACAUGUUCUCAUCAGGCCCCAGCCGGUGCUAAGAAUAAAGAGAGCAUUAGCUCAUGCUAUGUACAUCUUGGAUUCUGAAGUCACAUUCCGGCUUUCCAUCUGCUUGGAAAAACAGCAACCAGUCCAAUGUGCAAGGUGUGUGUGUGCACACACUCAGGCAAGCACACACUGCCCUCCCUUCACCUCCCCACCAAGCAUAAGCAGGAACUAGUUUGCUGAUCCAGAAACUGCUUUCUCUGGACUCCCACAAGCUGCCUCAGAGCUAGGGUGCUCUUUCCGUUCUCCCCACGAAUGUUGUGUGUGGCCUUGCUCUGCUUUAGCUGGCAAUCUGUCUUUAGCUGGUAGUCUGUCGGAAACCUGACCUUAGCUUCCCUGGAGCUGAUAAUCCCCUCUGGACCCAGAAAGCACCUGGUGCUCGGGCAGUUACGUAGCAUCCUGUUCCAGCUCUGCGGGUGUGCCAAAGGCGAAAGUCCAAAAUAAGCUAACCACAUGCUAGAGAACCCUGAAGGAAUCGAUGGGAGAGACAUGCAUCCGCUGUGUGGCCUGGGUCCCCACACGAACAUUAGGAAUCUGCUGUUCUGUUGAGCAGCCACUGGACCUGAGUCUCUGAGAUGGCAUCACUCUAUCGUGCCCUGUGUCUCCUCAGAUUCCAUCCUACAUUAUGACAACCUAUCCUGGUCUCCUAAUGGGACAGUAAACAACCUGAGCUCCCAGACACUGACCGUCUUCUGAGUAAAGACUCCAAAUUCCAAAAUAAAACAAUAGGGUUAUGCAUAAUUCAUAGUGUUCUUUUUGGCACUAGCUCUGUGAUUGGGGAGUGCCCAUCUUAUCAAUUAAUAAUUAGGAAUGGGCAGCACUGGCAUGCUCAAAGGAGGCGGUGAUCACAGCCUCUAGACAUAGAUGGAGAGUUCACGUCUGUAAAUGCGGGAGGUGAGGUGUUCACCAAGGAAUGCGAUACAAGACUGACUGCUCAUGGAACAUGGGCAACUCUGUCAGUGGAGUGGGGAGGCCUGCAAGACUCAAGCUCCUGUGUUUCUGUCCCAGGAAACCUCCAGAGAACCAGCCAAGAGGUUUCUGGCUUCACGGAGUUCUCCUACAACAUCCAACGAGAAAAAGAUGAAUACCAGCUGAAAGGAAGUUCAGUUCCCACGCCUGCAUCUUUUGUUUAUGGACAAGGAAGUUGCCGGGAAGGAGAUGUGACUCAUCCACAGACACUCAGCCGACUGAUGGCAGAGCCAGAACCAGAGCCUGGAGACCAAUGCUCUUCCCUGCUUCCCCUGAAGUCCCUGGCACUGAUUUAUCCCUUCUGUUGUUCAGAGACAACAAACCUAAAACAUAAGUAGCCAGCCCAUUCUGACAGUAUAAACGACCAAGACGUCAGAGCACCUUCCGCAAGAGUUCACACAUCCGGACAGUUGGGAUGGGGGCAGGUGACCCAGGGGAAGGAAAGCAGCAGAGCAGGGACUGACUGGCAGUGGACAAGGGACAGCAAGGGAGAUUCAGAGUAUGGUGACUGCUGGAGGCAUAGACAGAUGUAGACCAAGCUAUGGUCCCAGUCUCCUUGGCAAGAUCCCACUGAUCUAUCUGUAGGCACACGCAAAGCUUGCUGAAUCUAGGAACAUACCCUUCUUUAUAUAUACUUCGUUUUUCCCACCUCUGGGCCUUUGGCCAUCAAUCACCAUCCCAAUGUAUCUAUGGGAAAACUCCCUAUUCUUUAAAGCCCACAACCGAUGCUACUUACAAUCACCUGGCUCCUCCUACGCUUACUAUGUCUUCCAUCUCGGGCUUCGGGGAUAGACCGUCUGCGUCUCUCUCUUCUGCGGUGUAAGUACUUGUGAGCAGGGCUGACUCCACAGUCAACAGCAUAAACUCUUCUAGUUCUGCUCAACUAUUUUUUAAUCUGUUCUUUCAUUUAAUGAAUAUUAAUUGAGCACAUUCCCUAUAUCAAGUGUCGUGGUCCCUGGCUGUAGGGCCUUCAUGCUCUACAGGGACACAGGCCUGCAAGGGCAUUUGAGCAAAGGCACGCUCACAGGGAUAAGGCUCAGAGCUCUUUAGCCAGUUGAGCAGAGGUAGCCAGGAAGGCUUCCUAGGAAAGGUAGGGUCUAUAGGAAGCUGAGAAGGACAAGCAGGAACA